ACGAUAUGGGAUGGCCAACCUCUCUCAACCAGCUCCAACCUCGGGGCCUCCCUGCAAGGAUGACAAUGGAAAGGGGAGCCAUUCUGUUUCAUUAAGACAUAUUUUCAAUCACUUCUCGACUAGUGGAAUAUCGGUCACCGCUGCUACUGGGGUUACACACCCUUUGGAUGUCAUCAAAGUCAGACUACAAAUGCAGCUAGUUGGUCAGAAAGGUCCCUUGACUGGAAUGGGAAAGAUUUUCGCCCAGAUAGUGAAAAUCGAAGGACCUCAAGCUCUAUAUUUGGGACUUACCCCUGCACUUACUAGAUCUCUUUUGUAUGGAGGCCUUCGUGUAGGUUUGUAUGAGCCUUGCAAGUAUUUCUGCAACUUAACUCUUGGAUCCACUAAUAUUUUGGUGAAAAUUGCAUCGGGAGCAUUCUCUGGUGCUAUUGCAAGUGCAUUAACGAAUCCAACAGAAGUUUUGAAGGUGCGUUUACAAAUGAACUCAAAUUUGGGAAAGACAAAAGUAUUAAGAGAAAUGCAAAAGAUCAUGUCAGAUGAGGGAAUUAUAGCACUAUGGAAGGGUGUGGGCCCUGCAAUGGCCAGGGCUGCUGCCUUGACUGCAUCACAAUUAGCAACAUAUGAUGAGUCCAAGCAGGCUUUGAUGCAUUGGACAUCUUUGAAAGAAGGAUUUAAUCUACAUCUCAUUUCAAGUGCCAUAGCAGGUACAAUGGGGACCCUGGUAACUGCACCCAUGGAUAUGGUUAAAACUCGUCUCAUGAUGCAAAGAGAAUCUAAGAAACUCGGGAAUUAUAGAAAUGGAUUUCACUGUGCUUAUCAGGUAAUUGGUGUUAGCUAAUGUGGGUUCUUGUACUUUGUACUAUUUGGGGACUAUUUUAAAAAUUUAUUUCCAUUAUUUUCUUUUGCUUCUUGCUAAACUAGGCACCCAAGCCUUCUAUACUAAAAUAUCAAUCAUUUCUUCUUACACCAUUAGAGGCUCGUAGGAGUUUCCUUUUUUAAGCUUCUUACAUGUAGAGCCUCUUAUUAUUAUUAUUAUUAUUAUUUUUCUCCCUUUUCAUUACUUCUUGAAGGUGCACCGUUUCGCUCUUAUCUUCCUUCAUUAUUACUUGGAUUUCUUGCAGAAAAAUAAAAGUUAAAAGCACCUCAUCAUUGUUCACAUUUCUGUUAGAAUAAUUCCUCAUGUUUAUUCAUGCUCUAGAUGAAGGUGGUGGUAACUGAAGGCCCCCGAGCUCUAUACAAGGGGGGUUUCACCACCUUUGCAAGGCUUGGUCCGCAAACCACCAUCACUUUUC